rnacentral:rRNA from 1 species
AUUGAACGCUGGCGGCAUGCUUUACACAUGCAAGUCGAACGGUAACAGGCCGCAAGGUGCUGACGAGUGGCGAACGGGUGAGUAAUGCAUCGGAACGUGCCCAGUCGUGGGGGAUAACUACUCGAAAGAGUAGCUAAUACCGCAUACGAUCUAUGGAUGAAAGCGGGGGACCGUAAGGCCUCGCGCGAUUGGAGCGGCCGAUGUCAGAUUAGGUAGUUGGUGGGGUAAAGGCUCACCAAGCCAACGAUCUGUAGCUGGUCUGAGAGGACGACCAGCCACACUGGGACUGGGACACGGCCCAGACUCCUACGGGAGGCAGCAGUGGGGAAUUUUGGACAAUGGGCGCAAGCCUGAUCCAGCAAUGCCGCGUGCAGGAAGAAGGCCUUCGGGUUGUAAACUGCUUUUGUACGGAACGAAACGGCUCUGGUUAAUACCCGGGGCUAAUGACGGUACCGUAAGAAUAAGCACCGGCUAACUACGUG